rnacentral:rRNA from 1 species
CAGGUUCAAAAAGUCUGACGGAGCACGCCGCCGUGAGUGUGAAGGUUUCGGAUCGUAAAGCUCUGUUGUUAGGGAAGAACAAGUGCCGUUCAAAUAGGGCGGCACCUUGACGGUACCUAACCAGAAAGCCACGGCUAACUACGUGCCAGCGGCCACGGUAAAU